rnacentral:tRNA from 1 species
GAGAGUGUAGCUCAGCUGAUAGAGUGCUUGCCUAAGAAGCAAGAAGCCCUGGGCGUGAUCCCCAGCACCA